rnacentral:rRNA from 1 species
UACGGGGGGAGCAAGCGUUGUUCGGAUUUACUGGGCGUAAAGGGCGCGUAGGCGGCCACGACAAGUCACUUGUGAAAUCUCCGGGCUUAACUCGGAAAGGUCAAGUGAUACUGUCGGGCUAGAGUACAGAAGGGGCAACUGGAAUUCUCGGUGUAGCGGUGAAAUGCGUAGCUAUCAAGAGGACCACCUGAGGUGAAGACGGGUUGCUGGGCUGACCCUGACGCUGAGGCGCGAAAGCCAGGGGAGCAAACGGG